AUUGAACGCUGGCGGCAGGCCUAACACAUGCAAGUCGAGCGGAUGAAGGGAGCUUGCUCCUGGAUUCAGCGGCGGACGGGUGAGUAAUGCCUAUGAAUCUGCCUGGUAGUGGGGGAUAACGUCCGGAUACGGGCGCUAAUACCGCAUACGUCCUGUGGGAGACAGUGGGGGAUCUUCGGACCUCACGCUAUCAGAUGAGCCUAGGUCGGAUUAGCUAGUUGGUGGGGUAAAGGCCUACCAAGGCGACGAUCCGUAACUGGUCUGAGAGGAUGAUCAGUCACACUGGAACUGAGACACGGUCCAGACUCCUACGGGAGGCAGCAGUGGGGAAUAUUGGACGAUGGGCGAAAGCCUGAUCCAGCCAAGCCGCGUGUGUGAAGAAGGACUUCGGAUUGUAAAGCACUUUAAGUUGGGAGGAAGGGCAGUAAGUUAAUACCGUGCUGUUUUGACGUUACCAACAGAAUAAGCACCGGCUAACUUCGUG
rnacentral:rRNA from 1 species